UGGGGAAUUUUGGACAAUGGGCGAAAGCCUGAUCCAGCAAUGCCGCGUGUGUGAAGAAGGCCUUCGGGUUGUAAAGCACUUUUGUCCGGAAAGAAAUCCUUGGCUCUAAUACAGUCGGGGGAUGACGGUACCGGAAGAAUAAGCACCGGCUAACUACGUGCCAGCAGCCGCGGUAAUACGUAGGGUGCAAGCGUUAAUCGGAAUUACUGGGCGUAAAGCGUGCGCAGGCGGUUUGCUAAGACCGAUGUGAAAUCCCCGGGCUCAACCUGGGAACUGCAUUGGUGACUGGCAGGCUAGAGUAUGGCAGAGGGGGGUAGAAUUCCACGUGUAGCAGUGAAAUGCGUAGAGAUGUGGAGGAAUACCGAUGGCGAAGGCAGCCCCCUGGGCCAAUACUGACGCUCAUGCACGAAAGCGUGGGGAGCAAACAGGAUUAGAUACCCUGGUAGUCCACGCCCUAAACGAUGUCAACUAGUUGUUGGGGAUUCAUUUCCUUAGUAACGUAGCCAACGCGUGAAGUUGACCGCCUGGGGAGUACGGUCGCAAGAUUAAAACUCAAAGGAAUUGACGGGGUCAUA
rnacentral:rRNA from 1 species